rnacentral:rRNA from 1 species
UGCCAGCCGCCGCGGUAAUACGUAGGGUGCAAGCGUUAAUCGGAAUUACUGGGCGUAAAGCGUGCGCAGGCGGUUCGCUAAGACAGAUGCGAAAUCCCCGGGCUUAACCUGGGAACUGCAUUUGUGGCUGGCGGGCUAGAGUAUGGCAGAGGGGGUAGAAUUCCACGUGUAGCAGUGAAAUGCGUAGAUAUGUGGAGGAAUACCGAUGGCGAAGGCAGCCCCCUGGGAUAAUACUGACGCUCAGACACGAAAGCGUGGGGAGCAAACAGGAUUAGAUA